CUUACAAAAGAAUAAAGCCUCGAGGCUGUUGGGAGGGUAUCACAUGUACAGGCGCGUGGUGACACGAUAUGUCCCCCCAAGACAGCCAGAACCACAGCCACGAACAAAGGCCACCGAAAGCGGCCGCUGCAACUUCUGCCAGCCCAUCCUUCGAUCAGUGACUGUCUGUCCAAGCUUGGCAGCCCAUCCUGGAAGGACCGGACAGCGUCAUCUCUUUAUCAGAGUCACCAUUUACCCCGUCUAGACUUCCUGUGUGUGUCUUUCUCAUUCUGCACAGUGGGCACGGGAGGCACAGAGCGUUCCACUAGUCUGGGAAGAUCUCAAAGCAAGAUGGUCACCUGUGGAAGCCAUUGCUCUCCGUCUGGAAGGAUAGGAAGGACAAGUCCAGCGGGGAGGCUGGGGGAUGGGCUGAUGUUCUCUCCAUGCCUAGAGAGACAUCGGCCCACCAUAUUCUAGUCAUCUCCUUUGCAGCCGGAGCCUCGGGGUGAAUCUUUCUUUACCUUGGAAAAGCCACAGGAACUAAUCAAAGAUGAUGCCUGGCCAGCCAUCUCCGAAGGAGCUUCCAACUCUAUGUUUACACGGCAUGUUCUUGUUCAGCAGGUGACCGGGGCAAGCCACUGCAAUGAUAGAUUGUAAAAUAAACGGUACCACUCAAA